GGAGAGGUGGCAGAGUUGGUCGAUUGCGUCUGAUUUGAAAUCAGAUGAGUUUGCAAGAACUCCGUGGGUUCGAAUCCCACCCUCUCCG
rnacentral:tRNA from 1 species